ACAAUUCUGGCAGGGGAGAUACCAUGAUCACGAAGCCGGUUUUUCCAGGGUGAGGCUUAUUCAUUGCACUCUGGAUGUGCUGACUCCUGCAGUUUCCCCAAAUGUGGGAAACUUAUAAAUUGUGGUAGUGGGGGACUGCAUUCACACUCUCCCCUG